GUUACUCUUCGUCGAAUUGUGACUAGUUGUUACCAUAUAGGCUUACUGCAAUUCAUAUAUUUCUCCGCUUGCACAGCUAAUCAUCUUUCAGCAAGAGAAGCAGUCUUCAAAUUAUACUUCUGGGACCUUUUCUGUCUCGACAGGGGCAGCACUUGGUAGUAAAACCAGAAUAAGGUGAACACAGGAUGUUCUGACAAGUUUGUGGAGUGUGUUAAACGCCUUGGGGGAGCUGAGAGUUAGUAGUAGUUUGCUUUUAACUUUGUCGAAUCUUGAGAAACCAUUCUGCAAGCUUUUUAGUUUAUUACUUUGAUCAAACAGAGGCAACUCCAAAGGCAAUUCUCAAACUGGUGGAUACAGAAGGAUUGACCGUCUUUCAUGUGAAAAGCCAUUUGCAGAAAUAUCGUACUGCAAAAAACUGACAGAUUCUACUGAAGGCAAAUCAGAGAAAGGAAUUAGUACAAGUGAUGUAACUCAACUGGAUGUCAAAACUGGGUUGCACCUCGCAGAGGCAUUGCAACUUCAGCUAGAUGUCCAGAGGCUUCUUCAUGAACAAUUAGAGAUUCAGCGAAAUUUACAGUUGCGAAUUGAAGAACAAGAAAGGCAGCUGAAGAUGAUGAUUGAUCAGCAACAAAAAACAAACGAAAGCCUCCUAAAAGGACAAGAUUUGGACAUCACACCCUUUGCUCACUUCCCAUCCAAGAUGUAGACACAUCAUUUUGUCGGGGAGUUUUAGUGAAUUUUCAAAUAAUUCGGAUUAUAUCUCAAUCGAUAAUUAUCCGAUUUUUAUUUUAAAGUUCUGUAAAUUUAUUGUAUUUGAACUUGCUUUAAUUUGGAGCUUACAAUUUGAUC